rnacentral:rRNA from 1 species
AAAGUUAGUGGCGAACGGGUGAGUAACGCGUGAGCAACCUGCCUUUCAGUGGGGGACAACAGUUGGAAACGACUGCUAAUACCGCAUAAUGCAUUUUGACCGCAUGAUCGAGAUGCCAAAGAUUUAUUGCUGAAAGAUGGGCUCGCGUCUGAUUAGAUAGUUGGUGGGGUAACGGCCCACCAAGUCGACGAUCAGUAGCCGGACUGAGAGGUUGAACGGCCACAUUGGGACUGAGAUACGGCCCAGACUCC